GACGAACGCUGACGGCGUGCUUAACACAUGCAAGUCGAAGGGAGUGGCGAACGGGUGAGUAACACGUGAGUAACCUGCCCUUUUCUUUGGGAUAAGCCUGGGAAACUGGGUCUAAUACUGGAUGGAUUGGGAUGGGCUCGCGGCUUAUCAGCUUGUUGGUGGGGUGGUGGCUUACCAAGGUUUUGACGGGUAGCCGGCCUGAGAGGGGUGUCGGUCACACUGGUACUGAGAUACGGCCCAGACUCCUACGGGAGGCAGCAGUAGGGAAUCUUCCGCAAUGGGCGAAAGCCUGACGGAGCAACGCCGCGUGAGUGAUGAAGGCCUUCGGGUUGUAAAGUACUUUCAGCGGGGAGGCGUUACCCGCAGAAGAAGCACCGGCUAACUCCGUGCCAGCAGCCGCGGUAAUUC
rnacentral:rRNA from 1 species